CGUAGAAGACCUGGCCUUGGGCGAUGGGAGGAUUAGGGGAUUAGAGUAGCGGUUCUCAUAGGGUGGCCUGGGGGGCCCUGUGGGUCCCAAGAGCCUUUCUGAGAGUCUCCGUCAAAAUCAGUUUCAUAGCAAUAGUAGGAUGUCAUUUGCCUUUCUUACUGUCGCUGGAAUUUUCCAGAGGAGACUUGAUGUCUGAUGACGUCAUCAGUCUCAUGACUAAAGGAAUGUGUGCUUGUAUGUUCUUGUGUUUUUCUAGAAUUUCCUAAGGUAAGCUAUUUGGAUUCCUCAAUAAUUUUUUCCCCUUCGACUGGUAAUUUUUAGAGUUAACAUAAUGUUUUCUUUCUUACUUUCUUCCUUCUUAUUCUUUCUUGAAUCUCUGACCUUCCUUGUGAAAACACUUUUCUUCUGCCUGGGGUACCCUCCUUCAAUACUUCUCUUUGGUGAAGGUCAGCUUUUGUAAAAUUUUCUGUUUUGCUUUUCCAAAUAUGUCUCUAAUUCAUCUUAAAAUUCUGGAAGGAUUUGUUUUGCUGCUCAGAGAAUUUGAGGUUGGAAGUUUUUUCUUUCAGCAUAUCAGUGACAACCUGUCUUCCGGCUUCCAUUGCUGUUGAAAGUUGUUGUGGUCCCUACUUGCUCCAUCCACUGUGCUUCUCUUUUUUCCUUUUUGUUUUGAAAUAAUUACAAAUUUCCAGGAUAUGUGAUGACAUCAUCACUGUGGUGACUAAACGAAUGUGUGCUUGUGUGCUCUCAUGUUUUCUAGAAGUUUCGAAGGCAAGCUUUUUGAAUUCUUCAAUAAUUUUUCAGUUUCCUGAGAGCAAAAUGUUUGAGAACAGUUGGAUUCGAGUCUAGCUAUUCCUGGAAUGUACCCAGGGAAGAAGUAUUCAAGCCUCUUGCAGGUAGUUUUUGUUUUACAGCCCACCUUCCCAGACAGAGCCUCCGAGGGCCCUGCUUUGGCUGCCCUGCCUGGGUUCCAGGAUGAGUCAAAGAGAAAGCAUAAAAGGGGCCUGCAGUGUUUUCAGUUUGUAGGUUGGACUGUUAACAAAUGACCCACGCUAACAUUCAACAAGUAAUUCUCUAUUUUUGCUUGAAAUAUCCUGUAUGUAGAAAAGAGAGCAAAAAUAGUUUCUCUGUUACCCUUCCCACCCUCUGGGGAUUUCAUGCAUCGUGAGUCACCGUGAGAAGUUAUGAAAUGUCUUUCUCAAAAAUCUUUUAAAAUAGCUUUGAUUCUCAUCUGCCUGAGCUACUUCAGGUAGUGUCUUUCCUGACACUAUGACACAUGGGUGACCAUGCAUAGGCCCUUCCCUCUCCUGCUUUGGUCUAACUUGUGGGAGGACCCAGGAGAGCUUGUUACAGAGUCACUGCUAAACAGUCAGUUAGAGCUUCAUGACUAAGCACUAAUGACAGCUGCCUCCUUGAGGCAAAAACAAGGCCAUUUUCAGUGUGAACUGCUUGGUUUUUGAGACUAAUGGUUGACUCAUUGAAACACGUUAUCAUUUGUUUCUAUUUAUUCUGUUUUUCCAAUUUAAAUUCACUUUGCCACUGUGACACGGAUAGCCUAUUCUGAAAAACAGGUGACUGAAAAAAGAAAGCUCAUUGUGAUUGUGCAUGUGUAGAAACUUAGAACCGUAAGAAACAUGAAUUUUCUUCAUGGCUGUGAAUCAAGUUAGGCUUUUCCAUUGUCAGGAAUAGGCACUUGCCAUAAACAACCAACAUUAUCCCCUCUUGAUGCUGGAGUUUAUAUUUAAAACCACAUUAAAAGGGACUAACUGCCUAGCAUUUGGAAACUUUAAUUUGGUUAAUGAGUCAAUACAUCAACAACUAUUUACUAACUAUUGUGCUAGGUACUUGGGGUUAUAAAGGAGGACUAAGCUUUGAAACCAGCCCCCAGGGCAUACAGUUUACUUUAGAGAUGUGUUUGUAAUUUACUAUAACAGAAUUUAGUCUUUGUGAGAAGGAGAAUUCCCAUAACGGAAGAGGUCUGGGUAGGGGGAGAGUAGGAGGAAAGGAAAUGGCCAAGGCGCAUUGUGGGUGUUUUACAUUCAUUGUCUCGUUUAAUAUCAGCUGUCUUGUGAAAUAGCUCUUGUUAGCUCCAUCUUACAACUGAGAAAACCGGAGGCUCGGAGGGCUAUGAAUUUGCCACGGCCAGGAAGUGGCAGAGCUAGAAAAGAAGGAAUUCUGUUGAUUUCUGGCCAAAGUGAAGCUGUCCAACCUGCCCUAUUAAACUGUUAUGGAAGGUGCCAUCAUUUUUUUUCUGUUUUUCUGUAAAAAUAAUGCAUAUUGAUUAAGAAAAUUGGAGUAAUGCAGAAAUGAAACAGUUAAUACCUCUCUUCUCACCAAGAGGUAGAGUCUAUUUCUCUACUCCUUGAAUUUGGACUAGCUUUGUGCAUUGCCUUGACCAAUAGAAUACAGUGCAAGUGUUGCUGUACAACUUCAACCAAGACCUCAAGAGAUUUUAAAGCUUUUGCUUAUGCCUUCUUGGAGCACUGCUGUGCCAUAUGAAGAAGCUUGAGCCAGCCUCCAGGAGUCCAGUUGACAGCCAGCACCAACUGCCAGAAUGUUCCAAAUUUGUUGAAAACUACAAACAUAUCCAAGAAUCUCAGCGAAUGCCAAGCAGCAUAAACACAAAGAGAACCACAUCAAGCCACUGCAGAAUCAAAUUUCUCAAAACUAUUGAUACAGAAAAAAUCUUAAAGUUGAUAUUCAUCACCGGUUCUUCAUCAAAACCAAUGCAAACCAGAAGAUGGUGGAACAUCUUUAAAGCAUUGGAAGAAAAACACUGUCAACCCAGAAUCCAUUGAAAAUGUCCUUCAAAGAUGAAGGCAAAAUGAAAACAUUUCAGAUAUGCUGAAGCCAAGAGCAUUCAUUGCUAGUGAACUUGUACCACAGAAAUGCUAAAGGAAGUUCUUCAGGAUGAAGGAAGAUGAUAUCAGAUAUACAUAAGAAUCUAUGCAAAGGAAUGAAGAGUACCAGAAAUGGCUGUUUGCUCCUCCUAGUCCGGGACUGUGCCUUAUUCAUCUCUGUAUUUUUAGUCUCUCAAAUGUCAUUGAAUCUCCAUGCGUGUCUGUGGUGACAAAGGAGGAAGUGGGGAGGCACGUGUGGAGGAGACGCUCUGGUGGUGACGCCAGCAAUGGGGAGGAGAAACCCAAGAACUGGUGGAGACUGAACCGGCUGACGUUAGUUCUCUGCCGUGUGGGCUGGUGGGGCUGGAAUGUGGAGAGUCUGCAGGUCUGCUGCAGGCUUAGGGAGGCAGUGCCAAAAGCAGCUUGGUUUCUGUGGGGCUUUUGGUCCAGGAAUGAUUCAGCAGAAUUCUGAGUCUUCCAGAUACACCCCAUCAGUAAUAAACCCCUCUCUGACUCCCUCCCACUCCCUCCCUCACCUACCACCCAGAGUAUUUCUCAACCCUUAUAGUCCCAGACUGGAAACCACAGAUUUUCAGUUAGAAACUGAGCAGCUCCAAUCACUAAAGUAUUCAAUUUGGGCUUCCCCUGAGUGACACCAUUUCUCUAGGUACCCAACACUAGGCUUCAGUACCUUGAGGGGCCCUGAAUGUGAUGUGCCCUUUAAUAGCGAACCCAAGCUCUGGCAGGUUUGGCCUGACACAUUUAUUCCAGAAAAUUAGAGCAGAUUGCUCUCAGUUUAUGUGUGUGUGAGCGAGUGUGUGUGUGUGUGUGUGUGUGUGUGGUUAAAAUUAAAUACAAAAUGGAGACUGGACUUGAGAAUACCCUGUGCAGACAAAACGAUUUAACACAGUAAGCAAAGCUAAAUCUAGCUUAUUUCAUAAACAUAAGUGGAACUUAACCUAGGUUAUUUCUUAUAAAUGCCGCUGACAAUCAUAAAAAAAAAACAACUUGAGUCAUCUUCCUAAAGAUGGUUUGAGAUAAUCACUUGUAAUCAGUCCCCUGCCAUCUGGAAACCCCCAUUGUAGUAACCAAUCGUAAACAUUAAUAACUUUCUCACUUUCACUUUAUAAGCCAUCCUAUAACUUCAUGCCCCUGAGCUUUGUAACAGUCUUUGAAUUUGGAAGCUCCCAGUUCACAAACUGUUUUCAUAUGCAUAAUAAACUCUUAACUAAAUUCUA